rnacentral:lncRNA from 1 species
UAAACUGCACUAAUAACAAAUCGGAUGUCAUCUCUCAUGUUGCCGAUUCAACCUUGGACGAUGUUGCGUGGCCUGCGGCCAUGGACGAUGUGCUGUUGGACAAUGACGCGAGGCUGAGGCAGCCAAUGUGAAUGACCACUGGGUAUGUAAUGCCCCCCCCCCCUAAAAAAUCUGUAUUAACUUUUUUGAGUCCUUUGUAGUGUUGUUCUAUUUGUUAUGCAGUUUUUCUUAAAAAUGUAAAUCUCCCUUCCAUUCAUUCAUAAUUCAUGCAAUAAAAGCGUGUUUUACUGCCUGGUUUGUCUGGGGCUUAAAACUGAUAGCUUUAUGCAGGAGGGCAGGAGGUUGUAUGUUGGUUUUGGAAAUACCUGUUUGUCCAUAGAAAACUAUAGAAUGCAUGUGCGCUUAGAAUUCGGAUAUAGUCACAUUUGGCAAUAUCCAAGAUUAUUGUUAUCUAAUAGAUUUUUCAUGUUUCUUUAUUUUUGCAGAAAUCAUUUACCUUUCAAUCUUGGAAGGCCCUAAGCUGAAGGAGAGCAUCAAUUGUCAUGAGAGAUAAGCAAUAUCUAUUAGACACGCAUACUAUCAGGCUAACGCAAACCACUCAGGAAUGAAG